GAUGAACGCUAGCGGGAGGCUUAACACAUGCAAGUCGAGCGGCAGCACGGACUUCGGUCUGGUGGCGAGCGGCGCACGGGUGCGUAACGCGUAUGCAACCUGCCUUAUACAGGGGGAUAGCCCAUGGAAACGUGGAUUAAUACCCCAUAACAUCAUGAAUUCGCAUGGAUUUAUGAUUAAAAUUUCGAUGGUAUAAGAUGGGCAUGCGUCUGAUUAGCUAGUUGGUGAGGUAACGGCUCACCAAGGCGACGAUCAGUAGGGGUUCUGAGAGGAUUAUCCCCCACACUGGUACUGAGACACGGACCAGACUCCUACGGGAGGCAGCAGUGAGGAAUAUUGGUCAAUGGGCGAGAGCCUGAACCAGCCAUCCCGCGUGCAGGAUGACGGCCCUAUGGGUUGUAAACUGCUUUUCUACGCCAAGAAACGGCCCUACAUGUAGGGCACUGACGGUAGCGUAGGAAUAAGCAUCGGCUAACUCCGUGCCAGCAGCCGCCGUAAUAC
rnacentral:rRNA from 1 species